ACAGGAUGCACCGUAGUUUACUACACCGUAUUCUGUGAGUUGCGAACGGGUGAGUAACGCGUAGGUAACCUGCCUGGUAGCGGGGGAUAACUAUUGGAAACGAUAGCUAACACCGCAUAAGAACAUUUACUGCAUGGUAGAUGUUUAAAAGGUGCAAAUGCAUCACUACCAGAUGGACCUGCGUUGUAUUAGCUAGUAGGUGAGGUAACGGCUCACCUAGGCGACGAUACAUAGCCGACCUGAGAGGGUGAUCGGCCACACUGGGACUGAGACACGGCCCAGACUCCUACGGGAGGCAGCAGUAGGGAAUCUUCGGCAAUGGGGGGAACCCUGACCGAGCAACGCCGCGUGAGUGAAGAAGGUUUUCGGAUCGUAAAGCUCUGUUGUUAAGGAAGAACGAGUGUGAGAAUGGAAAGUUCAUACUGUGACGGUACUUAACCAGAAAGGGACGGCUAACUACGUGCCAGCAGCCGCGGUAAUACGUAGGUCCCGAGCGUUGUCCGGAUUUAUUGGGCGUAAAGCGAGCGCAGGCGGUUAGAU
rnacentral:rRNA from 1 species